rnacentral:rRNA from 1 species
UACGUAGGGUGCGAGCGUUGUCCGGAAUUAUUGGGCGUAAAGGGCUCGUAGGCGGUUUGUCGCGUCGGGAGUGAAAACCAUGGGCUUAACUCAUGGCUUGCUUUCGAUACGGGCAGACUAGAGGUAUGCAGGGGAGAACGGAAUUCCUGGUGUAGCGGUGGAAUGCGUAGAGCUCGGGAAGAACAUCGGUGGCGAAAGCGCUCUGCUGGACUGCAACUGACACUCAGGGACGAAAGCUAGGGGAGCGAAUGGG